GAUGAAGAACGUAGCGAAAUGCGAUAAUUAAUGUGAAUUGCAGAAUUCCGUGAAUCAUCGAGUCUUUGAACGCACAUUGCGCCUCAUGGCAUUCCGUGAGGCAUGCCCAUCUCAGCGUUAGAAAAAAUUCUCAAAUUUUAGUUUUGUGCUAAAAUUUGGAUCAUGUCAAAGAAGCUAUUACUAUUAUUGUGAUCGCUCUUUGGAAAUUGAUAGGUCUUUGAGUUGCUACUCAUAGAACGUGAUGAAUCUUUCUUCGUUCUAUUGUAAUUCACUCUGGUAGUCCUAAAACUUGUAUGCCUGUGGCAUAUCUUGUAAUUUGACCUGAGAUUGGGUAGGGAUACCCGCUGAACUUAAGCAUAUCAAUAAGCGGAGGA
rnacentral:misc_RNA from 1 species